rnacentral:rRNA from 1 species
UACGAAGGGGGCUAGCGUUGUUCGGAAUUACUGGGCGUAAAGCGCGCGUAGGCGGUUUUGCAAGCCAGAGGUGAAAUGCCUGAGCUCAACUUAGGAAUUGCCUUUGGGACUGCGAGGCUUUGAGGACGGGAGAGGUGAGUGGAAUUCCCAGUGUAGAGGUGAAAUUCGUAGAUAUUGGGAAGAACACCGGUGGCGAAGGCGGCUCACUGGCCCGUUUCUGACGCUGAGGUGCGAAAGCGUGGGGAGCAAACAGG